UACGUAGGGUGCAAGCGUUAAUCGGAAUUACUGGGCGUAAAGCGUGCGCAGGCGGUUAUGUAAGACAGGUGUGAAAUCCCCGGGCUUAACCUGGGAACUGCAUUUGUGACUGUAGAGCUGGAGUACGGUAGAGGGGGAUGGAAUUCCGCGUGUAGCAGUGAAAUGCGUAGAUAUGCGGAGGAACACCGAUGGCGAAGGCAAUCCCCUGGACCUGUACUGACGCUCAUGCACGAAAGCGUGGGGAGCAAACAGG
rnacentral:rRNA from 1 species